rnacentral:rRNA from 1 species
AUUGAACGCUGGCGGAAUGCUUUACACAUGCAAGUCGAACGGCAGCACGGACUUCGGUCUGGUGGCGAGUGGCGAACGGGUGAGUAAUAUAUCGGAACGUGCCCAGUCGUGGGGGAUAACGUAGUGAAAAUUACGCUAAUACCGCAUACGAUCUACGGAUGAAAGCGGGGGAUCGCAAGACCUCGCGCGAUUGGAGCGGCCGAUAUCAGAUUAGGUAGUUGGUGAGGUAAAGGCUCACCAAGCCGACGAUCUGUAGCUGGUCUGAGAGGACGACCAGCCACACUGGGACUGAGACACGGCCCAGACUCCUACGGGAGGCAGCAGUGGGGAAUUUUGGACAAUGGACGCAAGUCUGAUCCAGCCAUUCCGCGUGCAGGACGAAGGCCUUCGGGUUGUAAACUGCUUUUGUACAGAACGAAAAGGUCUCUACUAAUACUAGGGGCUCAUGACGGUACUGUAAGAAUAAGCACCGGCUAACUACGUGCCAGCAGCCGCAGUAA